CACCGAGAAUCAGCAAGUGCCAGGCACUCCUGCUUCUGAAAUAUUGAUACCUCCUCCCCAGGGGGUAGUAGCCCCAGGGACACGGCUUCGAGACUACAAGAAACUGUGUCUGUCCAGGAGCACAGUGAGAAGGGAAACCAGGACCGUGACGGAAUGAAGACUCCCUGCAGCCGGGAAGGUCUUCACGGAGAAGCUGCACUGGGUUUGGACAGGCAAAGGGAAACAGUUCACAGGGAAAGUGAACUGAGCGGUGCCAGGCCGUGAGCUGCUGUUGGGUGCAGUGGAGAUAAGGUUUCGAGGGGAGAUCUGAAUCAGCCCGUGGGACAGGAUCAUGUGCCAGAAACCGAGGCGAAGCUGGAACAGCAGUCUUCGGGACCGGAUCCGGUGGGGGCGGGCAGUGUUCUCAGUGUGCAAGGACAGAAAAUAGCUUCUUGGCAUUAAAAAAGCAACACUGAAGGACCGCAUAUUCAGUGAAUUAGAAAACAUUUCUCUACCCAGCACAUGCUACUGAGAGGGUUCUCUGCUGGAAAAAAAUAACUAAAGCGAGUAAUGAACAUGGAGCGCUGUUACCACGAGGAAGAUGGGAGACAAGAGACAUUCAUGUCAAAUACACUGUCUUUCCUUCUUGUUGAACUUAUUGGGGUGACAUUGGUUAAUACAACCAUACAGGUUUCGAGUGUACAACUCAACCAGACAGCAUCUGCACACUGCACGGUGCAUCCACCGCCCAAAGCAAAGUCUCUUUCUGUCCCCAGUUGUUCCCUCUCUGCCCGGCCUCCCCCAACCCCCUUCCCUGUGGCUAUCACCAUACUGUCCUGUGUGUCUGUGGGGUCAUAUAUACAUGUUUUUCUGCCUAAUUCCUUCACCUUCUUUUAUCCAGCUCCCCAAAACCCCUCCCCUCUGAUAGCUGUCAGUCUGUUGCAUGUGUCCAGGCCUCUGUUCCAGUUUUGUUCAUCAGUUUACUUUGUUCAUUAGAAAAUACACUGCUUUUUGUUUUGAUGUAGUGUGUGUUUUUUUUGCUAUAGACAGCCCAUAUAUGAAUUUUAAA